UACGCAGGGGGCUAGCGUUGUUCGGAAUUACUGGGCGUAAAGCGCGCGCAGGCGGCCAUUCAAGUCAGGGGUGAAAGCCCGGAGCUCAACUCCGGAAUUGCCUUUGAAACUGUAUGGCUUGAGUACGGGAGAGGUGAGUGGAAUUCCCAGUGUAGAGGUGAAAUUCGUAGAUAUUGGGAAGAACACCGGUGGCGAAGGCGGCUCACUGGCCCGUUUCUGACGCUCAUUCGCGACAGCGUGGGGAUCAAACAGG
rnacentral:rRNA from 1 species